rnacentral:rRNA from 1 species
UACGUAGGGUGCAAGCGUUGUCCGGAAUUAUUGGGCGUAAAGAGCUCGUAGGCGGUUCGUCGCGUCGGCUGUGAAAUCCCGAGGCUCAACCUCGGGUCUGCAGUCAAUACGGGCGGACUGGAGUUCGGCAGGGGAGACUGGAAUUCCUGGUGUAGCGGUGAAAUGCGCAGAUAUCAGGAGGAACACCGGUGGCGAAGGCGGGUCUCUGGGCCGAUACUGACGCUGAGGAGCGAAAGCGUGGGGAGCAAACAGG